GUGCACCCGGCCACAGAGAAGUGGGUGACUUAGGAGUAUCCUCUCCGCUUCUGACCCUUAGUUUCGUCUGUGCACAACUCGCUCAAAAUGGGCAACUCACUAAGCAUAUUUUGUUCCUGGUUCCACCACAGGUCCCCGCCACGCCAUCGGCAACCUGCUCGUCUUGUCCGUGAGGCCUUCCCAGCUGGCCGGGCUCACCCCGCGGCUCCUGCACCCAUGCCUGCCCCGGGAACCUUGGGCCGUUUCCCACUCCUCUUCAACCGUCAGCGAUAUCUUGGGCCUUCUUUUCCAGUCAGGUGGGACGGCGCCCCUAUGAGGCUGUGUCUUAUCCCUCGGAACACAGGCACCCCACAGAGGGCCCUGCCUCCUGUGGUCUGGAGCCCCCCCUCGAGGAAGAAACCCGUGCUGUCUGCUCGCAACUCCAUGAUGUUUGGACACCUCAGCCCUGUGAGGAUCCCUCGUCUCAGACGCAAGUUUAACCUCCGACUUCCUUCAUUAGAUGAGCAGGUGAUCCCAGCCAGGCUCCCGAAGACAGAGGUGAGGGCAGAAGAGCCCAAAGAAGCAACAGAGGUGAAAGACCAGGCAGAGACCCAGGGGCAGAAGGACAAUAAAAGGGGCCCCUGUAACAAUGGGGAAGCAGCCUCCACCUCUAGGCCCCUGGAGACUCAGGGAAACCUCACUUCCUCCUGGUACAAUCCCAGGCCCUUGGAGGGAAAUGUCCACCUCAAGAGCUUGACAGAAAAGAACCAGACUGACAAGGCCCAGGUGCAUGCAGUGAGUUUCUACUCCAAGGGCCAUGGAGUCGCCAGUUCACACAGCCCUGCUGGAGGCAUCCUUCCCUUUGGGAAGCCUGAGCCAGUUCCAACAGUGCUCCCUGCCCCAGUUCCCGGCUGCUCCCUGUGGCCAGAGAAGGCGGCCUUGAAGGUGCUGGAUAAAGACCACCUGCCCAGCUCUCCAGGCUUGCUGAUGGUGGGGGAGGACAUGCAGCCCAAGGAUCCUGCAGCUCUUGCAUCAAGUAGGUCUUCUCCACCCAGAGCUGCCGGCCACAGGUCCCGCAGGCCCCGCAAAAGAAAACUGUCAGGGCCACCGCUGCAGCUCCAACCGACCCCUCCCCUGCAACUGAGGUGGGAUAGAGACGAGGGGCCCCCACCGGCUAAGCUUCCCUGUCUAUCUCCUGAGGCACUGUUGGUGGGUCAGGCUUCCCAAAGAGAAGGACGCCUCCAGCAGGGCAACAUGCGUAAGAACAUGAGGGUGUUAAGUAGAACAUCAAAAUCCAGGAGAUGAAAACAGCCGCUUGGGAGGAGAAAGAAGACACGGCAGGGCAGGCGUCGUGGCUCAUGCCUGUAAUCCAGCACUUUGGGAGGCCCAGGCGGGCGAUCAGGAGGUCAAGAGAUUGAGACCUGAGGAGCAUCUCUGCCUGCACUAUCUGGGAAGUGAGGAGCGCCUCUGCCCAGCCGCCCCACCGUCUGGGAAGUGAGGAGCGCCUCUGCCCGGCCGCCCCACCGUCUGGGAAGUGAGGAGCGCCUCUGCCCGGCCGCCCCACCAUCUGGGAAGUGAGGAGCGCCUCUGCCAGGCCGCCCCACCGUCUGGGAAGUGAGGAGCGCCUCUGCCUGGCCCCCGCCCUGUCUAGGAAGUGACGAGCGCCUCUGCCCGGCCGCCUCACAGUCUGGGAAGUGAGGAGCACCUCUGCCCGGGCCCUGCCCCGUCUGGGCAGUGAGGAGUGCCUCUGCCACGCCGCCGCCCUGUCUGGGAACUGAGGAGCGCCUCUGCCCGGCUGGCCACUGGGAAUUGAGGAGGAGCACCGCCUCUGCGCGGCCUCCACCCCAUCUGGGAAGUGACGAGCACCUCUGCCCGGCCGCCUCACGGUCUGGGAAGUGACCAGCACCUCUGCCCAGCCGCCUCCGGGUCUGGGAAGUGAGGAGCGCCUCUGCCCAGUCGCUGCCCUGUCUGGGAAGUAAGGAGCGCCUCUGCCUGGCCACCGUCCCAUCUGGGAAGUGAGGAACGCUUCUGCCCAGCCGCCGCCCUGUCUGGAAAGUGAGGAGCACCUCUGCCCGGCCCCCUCACCAUUUGUAAGGGAGGAGCGCCUCUGCCCAGCCCCUGCACCGUCUGAGAAGUGAGGAGCGCCUCUGCCCGGCCCCCUCACCAUCUGGGAAGUGAGGAGCGUCUCUGUCCCGCUGCUGUGCAACCUACCAAGUGUGAAGUGACAGCCUUGUGUGUGAUCUUUCUGCCCUCCCCAAGUUUGCAUUUUCGACAUUAAAGUUUACUUUUUAAUUAAAAAAAAGGAGAUCGAGAUCAUUCUGGCCAACAUGGUGAAACUCCGUCUCUACUGAAAAUACAAAAAUUAGGCGGCAUGGUGGCUCGUGCCUGUAGUCCCAGCUACUCGGGAGGCUGAGGCAGGAGAAUGGUUUGAACCCAGGAGGUGGAGGUUGCAGUGAGCCGAGAUCGCACCACUGCACUCCAGCCUGGUGACAGGGCAAGACUCCAUCUCAAAAAAAAAGCCUACUAACCAACACACUGACUAUGUAUCAAUGAUGACGUGAUAUUGUCCGAGAAAGUACAUUCCAAGGUCACCACACAGCAAUUGUUCAAAAAGGCCUCCGAUAUGGGAUGCUCCUAUUAUCUCAGAAGUAUUCUUCUUCGCCGGUUUUUUCUGGGCAUUCUAUCACUCCAGUUUAGCACCAACCCCAGAAUUAGGAGGACAUUGACCCCCAACAGGCCAGGCAUGGUGGCUCAUCCCUGUAAUCCCAGCACUUUGGGAGGCCAAGGUGGGCAGAUCACCUGAGGUCGGGAGUUCGAGACCAGCCUGACCAACAUGGAGAAACCCUGUCUCUACUAAAAAUACAAAAUUUGUUGGGCGUGGUGGCACAUGCCUAUAAUCCCAGCUACUUGGGAAGGCUGAGGCAGGAGAAUCGCUUGAACCUGGGAGGCGGAGGCUGCGGUGAGGCGAGAUUGCGCCAUUGCACUCCAGCCUGGGCAACAAGAGCGAAACUCUGUCUCAAAAAAAAAAAAAAAAUUCAUUUUACAUCCAACCACCAUUUUGGCUUUGAAGACGCCACCUGAUAUUGACACUUUGUAGAUGUCGUAUGACCAUUCCCAUGUGUCUCUAUCUACUGGUGAGGGUCCUAC